CACGUAGGGUGCGAGCGUUGUCCGGAAUUAUUGGGCGUAAAGAGCUCGUAGGCGGUGUGUCGCGUCGGCCGUGAAAACCUGUGGCUUAACCAUGGGCUUGCGGUCGAUACGGGCAUCACUGGAGUUCGGCAGGGGAGACUGGAAUUCCUGGUGUAGCGGUGAAAUGCGCAGAUAUCAGGAGGAACACCGGUGGCGAAGGCGGGUCUCUGGGCCGAUAUCGACGCUGAGGAGCGAAAGCGUGGGGAGCGAACAGG
rnacentral:rRNA from 1 species